UACGUAGGGUCCGAGCGUUGUCCGGAUUUAUUGGGCGUAAAGAGCUCGUAGGCGGUUCCGUAAGUCAGAUGUGAAAACUCAGGGCUCAACCCGGAGACGCCAUCUGAUACUGCGGUGACUGGAGUCUGGUAGGGGAACACGGAAUUCCUGGUGUAGCGGUGAAAUGCGUAGAUAUCGAGAGGAACACCUGCGGCGAAGGCGGGUUGCUGGGCUGACACUGACGCUGAUGCGCGAAAGCUAGGGGAGCGAACGGG
rnacentral:rRNA from 1 species